rnacentral:lncRNA from 1 species
UUUAGAUCCUAGGUCUUUAUAUCACCACUGAUUUUCUACAUAUCCAAGGAAUAGCACACAAUCUAUCAGCCUCUUGUCUUCUCCUGUGUCUGAUGGGAUCAACGAUGCUGUUGAUUUCUUAGAAACAUCAAGUGCAACACUGCAACUAACCAUGAAAAGAUUGCAAAACAGUCUAGAAGGGUUUAAGACUCAAGUUUACCUGCUGCUUUUCUUGUCUAUUGUAUUUCAGUGAAUUCCUAUCCCACAUGUUUGCAUCUGUCGCUGCCUGAGAGCGCCAGCUGCCUGGGAUGUGUAAACCAGAAAUAUAUGGCUGAUACAACUUUGCCUUGCGGUGGGCUUCAGGAACUUCUCCAUUGUCACAGAUCAAGAGAAUUAGGGUGAAGGAUGAAGUGAGCUGGAUUUUAUACUCCACAAGGAAAGAACAACAUCUGAGAGAUGGCAAUUAGCUGAAUUCUGUUUCCACUGAAGUUCUGGGAAAUGUUUGGAUUUCAUGCAGUUUGUCCAAAACCUUUUGAGACAGAGUCUCUGCAACCCUGUAUUGAAUAAUGCCUAGAGAUUUUAUGCUCUUCUAGUUCCCC